CUCUGGAGUCAUUAUCGCGAUGUGGUAACAGAAGGUUAGAUAGAAGGAGCACGAUGUUUCUCCGGCGAGAGGAUAUCCCUGGGCUGAGAUGACUGCUGGUCAACGUGGACGCGAGAUGAAGAACAGGAAGAAGUUGACACUUCACAGUGAAAAGAAGAAGCGAAAUGACCACUAANNNAUUUCCCCCAAAAAAAAAGGGAUAUGACCACUAAUACUUUUAAGAGGGAAACUCUAAUUUGGGCCCACGUUUGUUUUAGGGCUUCAUGAGCCCAUAGCC
rnacentral:misc_RNA from 1 species